rnacentral:pre_miRNA from 1 species
GGCAGAGGAGGGCUGUUCUUCCCUUGAGUUUUAUGACUGGGAGGAACUAGCCUUCUCUCAGCUUA